rnacentral:rRNA from 1 species
UAGUCUGCAACCCGACUACAUGAAGCUGGAAUCGCUAGUAAUCGCGGAUCAGAAUGCCGCGGUGAAUACGUUCCCGGGUCUUGUACACACCGCCCGUCACACCAUGGGAGUCGGAAAUGCCCGAAGCCGGUGACCUGACCUUUCAGGAAGGAGCCGUCGAAGGCAGGUCUGAUAACUGGGGUGAAGUCGUAACAAGGUAGC